rfam:Schistosoma mansoni, Puerto Rico, WGS project CABG01000000 data, contig: 0049
AGAUUUUUGAAUCCAUGUAGAGAUUUCCUCAGACACUACACCAUCAGUAUUGAUGAGACUCCCAAGAUAACCGAAGCG